UGGGGAAUUUUGGACAAUGGGCGAAAGCCUGAUCCAGCAAUGCCGCGUGUGUGAAGAAGGCCUUCGGGUUGUAAAGCACUUUUGUCCGGAAAGAAAUCCUUGGCUCUAAUACAGUCGGGGGAUGACGGUACCGGAAGAAUAAGCACCGGCUAACUACGUGCCAGCAGCCGCGGUAAUACGUAGGGUGCAAGCGUUAAUCGGAAUUACUGGGCGUAAAGCGUGCGCAGGCGGUUUGCUAAGACCGAUGUGAAAUCCCCGGGCUCAACCUGGGAACUGCAUUGGUGACUGGCAGGCUAGAGUAUGGCAGAGGGGGGUAGAAUUCCACGUGUAGCAGUGAAAUGCGUAGAGAUGUGGAGGAAUACCGAUGGCGAAGGCAGCCCCCUGGGCCAAUACUGACGCUCAUGCACGAAAGCGUGGGGAGCAAACAGGAUUAGAUACCCUGGUAGUCCACGCCCUAAACGAUGUCAACUAGUCGUUGGGGAUUCAUUUCCUUAGUAACGUAGCUAACGCGUGAAGUUGACCGCCUGGGGAGUACGGUCGCAAGAUU
rnacentral:rRNA from 1 species